AACGAACGCUGGCGGCAUGCUUAACACAUGCAAGUCGAACGAGACCUCCGGGCUUAGUGGCGCACCGGUGCGUAACGCGUGGUAACCUGCCCUUAGGUUCCCAAUACCUCCCCGUAAGGUGAGCUAAUACCGGUUAAUGUCAUCGGACCAAAGAUCUCUCGCCUUGGGAUGGGGGCGCGUUGGAUUAGCCGGUUGGUAGGGUAAAAGCCUGUCAUGGCGUGGUUCCAUAGCUGGUCUGAGAGGAGGAUCAGCUCGACUUGGACUGAGGCACGGCCCAGACUCCUACGGGGGGGAGGAGUAGGGAGUAUUAGGCGAGGGGGGAAAGCGUGGUCCAGCAGUGCGGCGGAAGUGAUGAAGGCCUUAGGAUUGUAAAGCUCUUUUUCCCGGGAUGAUAAUGACAGUACCGGGAGAAUAAGCACCGGCUAACUCCGUG
rnacentral:rRNA from 1 species